rnacentral:rRNA from 1 species
CCUACGUGAGGCAGCAGUGAGGAAUAUUGGUCAAUGGGCGCGAGCCUGAACCAGCCAAGUCGCGUGAGGGAGGACGGCCCUACGGGUUGUAAACCUCUUUUGCCGGGGAGCAACGGGCGUCACGUGUGGCGCCACUGAGAGUACCCGGAGAAAAAGCAUCGGCUAACUCCGUGCCAGCAGCCGCGGUAAUACGGAGGAUGCGAGCGUUAUCCGGAUUUAUUGGGUUUCAAGGGUGCGUAGGCGGGAUGCCAAGUCAGCGGUAAAAAUGCGGUGCUCAACGCCGUCGAGCCGUUGAAACUGGCGUUCUUGAGUGGGCGAGAAGUAUGCGGAAUGCGUGGUGUAGCGGUGAAAUGCAUAGAUAUCACGCAGAACUCCGAUUGCGAAGGCAGCAUACCGGCGCCCUACUGACGCUGAGGCACGAAAGCGUGGGUAUCGAACAGGAUUAGAUACCCCAGUAGUC